AGAUAAUAGGCAGUAACAGCAGUAUACUGUAGGUAGGGGUAAAGGAUAGAUAAUAGACAGUAACAGCAGUAUACUGUAGGUAGGGGUAAAGGAUAGAUAAUAGACAGUAACAGCAGUAUACUGUAGGUAGGGGUAAAGGAUAGAUAAUAGACAGUAACAGCAGUAUACUGUAGGUAGGGGUAAAGGAUAGAUAAUAGACAGUAACAGCAGUAUACUGUAGGUAGGGGUAAAGGAUAGAUAAUAGACAGUAACAGCAGUAUAAUGUAGGUAGGGGUAAAGGAUAGAUAAUAGACAGUAACAGCAGUAUACUGUAGGUAGG